ACUACAUUUGAUUGCAUUAAUUGAUGUUUAAAAAAAAAUCCGUUGAAAAUAAAGCCCAGCAGUAGCAUUUUUCUUUCCUAAAUCACAAUAGCAGCACAUUACAAACAUUACCAAAAGGUCCCCUGGUACGUUUGUAAAGUUCCACUCUGGCAGUAAAAUGCAUCUACUGAGUGUUCUCCAUUUCCAUCUCUACCCUCCCAAAUAUGUAGGAAAGCAGGUCACAAAUGCAAUUAAGCCUCCUUGCAGGUUGUUUAAAUAUUCAUUUCCAAUGAGGACUCAGAAACUGAAUGGUCAGCCACGGAAUCCUUUUUAAUUUAUUAAAAAACCCUAAUCUUGUUCUAAAACAGGGUUUGACCGCUGAUAGCAGGCAGAUCAUUAGGACUGAAUGUAAUCGGCUGUGUUUCCAAAAUCCUGACAAGUGAGGCAUGCGCUUUGGUGAGCCUAGCCUAUUAGCAAACACAGACCUCCACCAGCGGCUUCGGGGGGCUUACAGCGCAGUGGACAGGACAGACAGUGUUAAUAACAGUCAUCGGGGACAUCAUCUAUAAAACCUCUCCUCUCAUGCGCCAUGGGGGAGUGAUUUUAAAAACCUGGGCUUUGGAAUCACUUGGUGGUAGUGGGUGGGAUGCCCAACCCUAACCCCUACAUCGUAAACCAAACCAUCCCGCCAGUUGGGGCUAUCGAGGACCACAUCCAGGGCUGAGAAGUGAGACUCAGGGGAGAGAAUCUACAGCCAGCGUUCAGCAUCUGCCUCUGAUAAGUGCUCGGUAAGUAUCAGUUAUUUUUGUUAUUAAGCAUGAAACAAACUUUAGCUGCGUUUGCGUUUGUUAAAGUAUCUCCUAUCAAGAGUUUUUACUCUUUAGAGUUGAUUUAUUGACACUGUUCCUCUAUAAUUCUCCCCUUUGUCUCCACAGAAGGUGUUUUCUCCUCCUCAUCAGCUCUGUUGGCUGUCCCAGGUUUUGCCCGACUUGACAGUGAGAACUGAGACUGUGGCAGGACCCAGCUGGUGGGGUGGGGCGAGGGGGCAUCCUUGCUCAAGAGACGGAGCGAGGCUUCAGGAGCUCUAGCGGCGCUGGUCAGGCUCCCACACCUGUGGGAUGCUUUGGGCAGAUCCAGCAGAGACCUUUUUUUUUUCAGGCUUUCAACUGAACCCAGACAUUCAGCAAGAAAUCUUCCUAGCACAUGGGCCUACUUACUAUCUGCUAGUGUUCUGGCCAACUUGAUUUUUCUCUUGACAAGCAGAAAAUGAUGGCCAUGCCGUGCCCUCCAUGUGUUCUGCAUCUAGCUGCUACCAUUUCCCAGGCCCAGACUUCCACUGAGACCUCCCUGGAAGUUUUCUUCUAUUUGCCAUGUUGAAGUCUCAGGGGAAAGGGCCUGAUUUGCAGUUAUGGAGGCUGGAUCGCACUGGCAAGCUGUCCUUAGCGGGAGUUACAAAAGAAGUCAAAUGCCUUCAUCUGCUUCUACCCUAUCAUCCCCAAGGUGAUUGAGUUCACUUCCCGAUGCUUCCCAAGUUUUCCUCAGGCUGUCCAAUCAGCACGUCCACCAGGGAGCCCAGCCUAGCUUGCAACAGUCUCUGUAUCUAGUUACAGCCCCACCAGGGACAGUCAACCAUCCACCCCCAAGCCUUCAGAUGAAAACCUUUUCUAACAAGGCCGCCCAGCGCCAAUGAAAUAACACACAUCUGCAUAUCCACUGGGUCCCAUGUUUCUUGUGCUCAUGGAUUAUGUAUCUUGCAGCCUCUAAUAAAGAAAUGCAGUUCUUUGUUUAA